rnacentral:rRNA from 1 species
UACAGAGGUCUCAAGCGUUGUUCGGAUUCAUUGGGCGUAAAGGGUGCGUAGGCUGUGAGGUAAGUCUGGUGUGAAAUCCCGGGGCUCAACUCCGGAACUGCACUGGAUACUGCUUUACUAGAGCACUGGAGAGGGAACUGGAAUUUACGGUGUAGCAGUGAAAUGCGUAGAUAUCGUAAGGAAGACCAGUGGCGAAGGCGAGUUCCUGGACAGUUGCUGACGCUGAGGCACGAAGGCCAGGGGAGCAAACGGG